rnacentral:rRNA from 1 species
GUGCCAGCAGCCGCGGUAAUACGGAKGGUGCAAGCGUUAACCGGAAUACUGGGCGUAAAGCGCACGCASGCGGUUUGUUAAGUCAGAUGUGAAAUCCCCGGGCUCAACCUGGGAACUGCAUCUGAUACUGGCAAGCUUGAGUCUCGUGGAGGGGGGUAGAAUUCCAGGUGUAGCGGUGAAAUGCGUAGAGAUCUGGAGGAAUACCGGUGGCGAAGGCGGCCCCCUGGACGAAGACUGACGCUCAGGUGCGAAAGCGUGGGGAGCGAACAGGAUUAGAUACCCUGGUAGUCCACGCUGUAAACGAUGCUAACUCGUUUUUGGGGAUUUAUCUUCAGAGACUAAGCGGAAGUGAUAAGUUASCCACCUGGGGAGUACGAACGCAAGUUUGAAACUCAAAGGAAUUGACGGGGGCCCGCACAAGCGGUGGAUUAUGUGGUUUAAUUCGAUGAUACGCGAGGAACCUUACCAAGGCUUAAAUGGGAAUUGAUCGGUUUAGAAAUAGACCUUCCUUCGGGCAAUUUUCAAGGUGCUGCAUGGUUGUCGUCAGCUCGUGCCGUGAGGUGUUAGGU